CUCUUCUCUCCGAGUCAGGUCGGCAUCUUCGUAGAUCGGGCACGGAGCCGUACACCAGCGGUUAGCGUCGGCAAACGCGACAAUAAAAUAUGUGUGCGCAGCACGUUGAGCUACUACUUCGCGCUCUUGCUCGCCACGGCGACGUCGACGGAGGAACACAUUGCGGGACAGAGAGAUUCCGCAAGCUGGAGCGAGAUAGAAGCAUACGGUGAGGCACACCGAGACGUGAAACAUUAGUGUACCGUUUGUUAACACCGCGGUCUACACAUAGCCGCGCGCAACUCUCACUCCUCUCCUCAUGGUUCCUCCGUACCCUUCUACCGGUGACUUCAAGAGGCCGCUACUAUGCGUAUACGCUUUGUAAGCUCGUGUGCAAGUGUAUGAGUCAAUAUACGCGAGUGUCAUUCCAGUGUGUGUCGUAGAAGGUAUGCUCCUGCUCAAGGGAUUUUCUCUCUUUGUUUUACACGCAAGUCUUCCACUCCCGUCUCUCUCUCCCGCUCUUUGACUCCACCUUAAACUCCCCUUGCCUGAUCAGUUUCUAUCCCUACAACGGUGACUUUCCGAGAAUGCGACACCGAAUUUGUCGACGGCACAGAACGUCGACGUUCCGCUACGACUACGCCCAAGCUAAGCCGCUGACCGAUGUCGUCGCACAUCGAUUUUGGAUUUCCCGUCUCUGUGCGUGUGUUACGAGGAUCAACCGUGCGUCUUCGGAAUCGGGAAUUAAGGAGCCAACAGGGAGUAAUAGUGGCUUUGUAUCGUGCUCCUCUCGCCAUACCCUAUACAAGUUACCGAUAAAUCGAAUUACCGAUGUAGCCGCCAGUGUCACGAAAUUCUCGGCAAAGGACCGUUUUUAAAUCGUGUGUUAUCACUGCAUCACCAUUGACUAAUAAACCUUGAAUUAUUUAUCGCGCGACCACCGUAAAUCAUAUCUUUUGAAAAAUUCUGUCGCAUCUCACUGUUUAUACAACGUUUUCCUAUUCUUUUCGCGUGUGUCAAUUCGUAAGCGGAAUAUCGAUUACAAAAUGGAAUUAAUCGUAAUGGGGCAAUUUGUAGCGAGUCAAUCUACAAACGGUGGUAUACCGUUGGGGGUGUUUUAUUAUGACUGUGCGCACUAUAGGUGUCUCCGCGCUUUGAAUUACUAAUGCCGUGGAUCAACCAACACGUUUAGCUGUAGUGAGAUGAGACAGUUAACUGUAGCGCGAGACAAGGCAUUAACAUGUUAAUGCGUCCUACUCUAUAGUCUAUAGUCUAGCACAGUACGUACAUGCAAUUCAUGUUAAAUGCAUUGGCCCUACGCAUUGUUACGCUUCAACUAAUGAUUCGCAUUUUGCCGUGAAUUUGAAUGUAAAUGAAAGGAAAGAUGAUACGGUUUAACGUUACAUAUACACAUACCACCUUAUGCAGAAUGGACUCGUGGCGUUUUGAAGAGUUGUGUGUUUGUAAAGCUUGUAUAAGUGUUAAUAAAUUAUGGAAGAAAUAAUUAAAAUAAUGUAUAAAAAUCCUAUUUUCUGAUGCGACGCACGCUAACAUCCCGCAUUUACAUAAGUCAUUCAUAUUUAUUAUAUGUAAUAUACAUUUUCUUAUCGUAAUUAAAUUCUUCCAAGAUAUUAUUAAAUAAUUUAUGCAGAGCUAAAAAUAAAAAUACGAACUGUUAAUCAGAUUGUGUAAGAAAAGCACAUUAUACGAUUGUAACAAUACAUUUAA